AUUGAACGCUGGCGGCAUGCCUUACACAUGCAAGUCGAACGGCAGCACGGGUGCUUGCACCUGGUGGCGAGUGGCGAACGGGUGAGUAAUACAUCGGAACAUGUCCUGUAGUGGGGGAUAGCCCGGCGAAAGCCGGAUUAAUACCGCAUACGAUCUACGGAUGAAAGCGGGGGACCUUCGGGCCUCGCGCUAUAGGGUUGGCCGAUGGCUGAUUAGCUAGUUGGUGGGGUAAAGGCCUACCAAGGCGACGAGCAGUAGCUGGUCUGAGAGGACGACCAGCCACACUGGAACUGAGACACGGCCCAGACUCCUACGGGAGGCAGCAGUGGGGAAUUUUGGACAAAGGGCGAAAGCCUGAUCCAGCAAUGCCGCGUGUGUGAAGAAGGCCUUCGGGUUGUAAAGCACUUUUGUCCGGAAAGAAAUCCUUGGCCCUAAUACGGUCGGGGGAUGACGGUACCGGAAGAAUAAGCACCGGCUAACUACGUG
rnacentral:rRNA from 1 species